GACGAACGCUGGCGGCGCGCCUUACGCAUGCAAGUCGUACGCCGGGCUUCGGCCCGGAGUGGCAGACGGCUGAGUAACGCGUAGGCAACCUGUCCCACAGCGGGGGAUAACCCGUCGAAAGACGGGCUAAUACCCCAUUCGCUCCUGGGGUGAAACUCCCCUGGAGGAAAGCCGCAAGGCGCUGAGGGAGGGGCCUGCGUCCUAUCAGGUAGUUGGUGAGGUAACGGCUCACCAAGCCGGCGACGGGUAGUUGGUCUGAGAGGACGGCCAGCCAGACGGGGACUGAGACACGGCCCCGACUCCUACGGGAGGCAGCAGCGAGGAAUCUUGGGCAAUGGGCGAAAGCCUGACCCAGCGACGCCGCGUGGGGGAAGAAGGCCUUCGGGUCGUAAACCCCUUUUGCCGGGGAAGAAGCUCUGACGGUACCCGGCGAAUAAGCCACGGCUAACUACGUGCCAGCAGCCGCGGUAAUACGUAGGUGGCAAGCGUUGUCCGGAUUUACUGGGCGUAAAGAGCGUGUAGGCGGUCCGUUAAGUCCGGUGUGAAAUCUCCCGGCUCAACUGGGAGGGGUCAUCGGAUACUGGCGGACUAGAGGUGGGCAGAGGAAGGUGGAAUUCCCGGUGUAGCGGUGAAAUGCGUAGAUAUCGGGAGGAACACCAGUGGCGAAGGCGGCCUUCUGGGCCCACUCUGACGCUGAGGCGCGAAAGCGUGGGGAGCAAACCGGAUUAGAUACCCGGGUAGUCCACACCCUAAACGUUGGACACUAGGUGUGGGGGGUGUCGACCCCCUCUGUGCCGUAGCUAACGCAUUAAGUGUCCCGCCUGGGGAGUACGGCCGCAAGGCUAAAACUCAAAGGAAUUGACGGGGGCCC
rnacentral:rRNA from 1 species